AGCUUUGCGCAGUGGUAGUAUCGUAGCCAAUGAGGUUUAUCCGAGGCGCGAUUAUUGCUAAUUGAAAAGUUAAUGUAAAGUUACAUUUAAAUUUAUUGCUUGACAAAUCAC
rnacentral:snRNA from 1 species